rnacentral:misc_RNA from 1 species
GAUGAAGAACGUAGCGAAAUGCGAUAAGUAAUGUGAAUUGCAGAAUUCAGUGAAUCAUCGAAUCUUUGAACGCACCUUCGCUCCUUGGUAUUCCGAGGAGCAUGCCUGUUUGAGUCUCAUGGAAUUCUCAAGCUUACAGUUUUGUUACUGCAAGGCUUGGACUUGGAGGUCGUGUCGGCUCUCGCGAGUCGACUCCUCUGAAAUGCAUUAGUGCGGACGUUACCGGUCGCUUCAGCGUGAUAAUUAUCUGCGCUGCCGUCGACUGGUAUGUGAAGUACGCGCUUCUAACCGUCCUUCACGGGACAAUACAUUGAAACUCUGAGCUCAAAUCAGGUAGGACUACCCGCUGAACUUAAGCAUAUCAAUAAGCGGAGGA